GACGUAGGGCGCGAGCGUUGUCCGGAUUUAUUGGGCGUAAAGGGCUCGUAGGCGGCUUGUCGCGUCGGGAGUGAAAACCUCGGGCUUAACUCGGGGCUUGCUUUCGAUACGGGCAGACUGGAGUACUGCAGGGGAGACUGGAAUUCCUGGUGUAGCGGUGGAAUGCGCAGAUAUCAGGAGGAACACCGGUGGCGAAGGCGGGUCUCUGGGCAGUAACUGACGCUGAGGAGCGAAAGCGUGGGGAGCGAACAGG
rnacentral:rRNA from 1 species